AGAGUUUGAUCCUGGCUCAGGAUGAACGCUAGCUACAGGCUUAACACAUGCAAGUCGAGGGGAAACGACAUCGAAAGCUUGCUUUUGAUGGGCGUCGACCGGCGCACGGGUGAGUAACGCGUAUCCAACCUGCCCACCACUUGGGGAUAACCUUGCGAAAGUAAGACUAAUACCCAAUGACGUCUCUAGAAGACAUCUGAAAGAGAUUAAAGAUUUAUCGGUGAUGGAUGGGGAUGCGUCUGAUUAGCUUGUUGGCGGGGUAACGGCCACCAAGGCGACGAUCAGUAGGGGUUCUGAGAGGAAGGUCCCCCACGAUUGGAACUGAGACACGGUCCAAAACUCCUACGGGAGGACA
rnacentral:rRNA from 1 species